rnacentral:rRNA from 1 species
AAUCAACGCUGGCGGCGUGCCUCAGACAUGCAAGUCGAACGAUUAAAGCUCUCUUCGGAGAGUGUAUAAAGUGGCGCACGGGUGAGUAACACGUAAGUAAUCUACCUUCGAGUGGGGAAUAACGUCCGGAAACGGACGCUAAUACCGCAUAAUGCAGCGGCAUCGCAAGAUGACAGUUGUUAAAGAUUUAUCGCUUGAAGAGGAGCUUGCGGCAGAUUAGCUAGUUGGUAAGGUAAUGGCUUACCAAGGCUACGAUCUGUAACCGGUCUAAGAGGACGGUCGGUCACACUGACACUGAAUAACGGGUCAGACUCCUACGGGAGGCAGCAGUCGGGAAUUUUGGGCAAUGGGCGAAAGCCUGACCCAGCAACGCCGCGUGAAGGAUGAAGUAUUUCGGUAUGUAAACUUCGAAAGAAUAGGAAGAAUAAAUGACGGUACUAUUUAUAAGGUCCGGCUAACUACGUGCCAGCCGCCGCCGUAA